AACCUGCGGAAGGAUCAUUGUCGAAGCCUAUAAGACAAAACGACCCGUGAACAUGUAAAAACAACUAAGCGUCAUAGGGAUCGAGCUUGUGUUCGUGAACAAUGGCUUUUCGUUAAUCUUUCUCUACGGUUGCCUCUUAGGAGCAUCCAUGAUGUCAGGUUGACGCAACAACAAACCCCGGCACGGUACGUGCCAAGGAUAAGUUAACUUUAAGAAUGCCUGAUGCCAUGUAGCACCGUCUGCGGUGUUUGCAUGGGAUUUGGAUUCUUUAUGACUAGAACGACUCUCGGCAACGGAUAUCUCGGCUCACGCAUCGAUGAAGAACGUAGCAAAAUGCGAUACUUGGUGUGAAUUGCAGAAUCCCGUGAACCAUCGAGUUUUUGAACGCAAGUUGCGCCCGAAGCCAUUUGGUUUAGGGCACAUCUGCCUGGGCGUCACGUAUCGCUUCGCUCCUAACCACGCCUCCUUAAAAGGAUGUGUGGGAUAUGGGCGGAUAAUGGCCUCCCGUGCCUAUGGUGUGGUUGGCUGAAAUACGAGUCUCCUUUUGAUGGACACACGACCUGUGGUGGUUGACCCGUCCUUAGUCUCGUGUUUGUGUCCGUCGAUGUAUCGGAAGACCUUGAAAAAGUACCCUAACGUGUCGUCUUGCGGCGGUGCUUCGACCGCGACCCCAGGUCAGGUGGGACUACCCGCUGAGUUUAAGCAUAUCAAUAAGCGGAGGAGAAGAAACUUACAAGGAUUCCCUUAGUAACGGCGAGCGAACCGGGAAUAGCCCAGCGUGAAAAUCUGGCGGA
rnacentral:misc_RNA from 1 species